GUCCUCUUCGUUUGACAGUGAAGUAACACGGCAUCCAUGCACGCUUUCUUAGUUCACGGACGUGAGAGUCAAUGAAAGAGUUCAAUUUGCAAACGACUAUUAAGAUGGGUUUCUCCAGAAAAUUGUGGCUUUUGCCAAGUCGUCGUGCUACUCUCGGUGUUAGAACUUUGGAAUAUUAAACUCUUCCCGUAACCGAUAGCAAGAUGCAAA